GAAUAGUAUAUGCCAGCGGUUCCCACACUUUUCAGGCCACCACCUCCCAGGUUGUGACCGAGUCCACGCACCCACCCUAAGAUUCGAGUAGUACUAAGAUCCCGUCGAUUUCCUGAAAUUUUGUCCAUUUUUUACGAAUUUUGUGCUCGCAAAGUAUGAGGCUCUGAGCGAUGGCUAUCAAAACUGAACGAAAAUGUACCUGGGGGGUGAAUGAAUGUGCUCAAGAGUCUGGGUAAGUUUUAAACAAAGAAUAGACAACUCCGCUGAAGCGUACAGCAUACGUUAGUUUUAAAACGAUGGCAGUUAAUGAUGUGUUUGGAAUUUUAAUGAUACAAAAUCCGCCAUUACAUUUUUUUUUUCCUUACGCACCCCUAGUGAUCAGCUUACGCACCCCCAGGGGUGCGCGCACCACACUUUGAGAACCGCUGGAAUAUGCUAUAGUUGCGCUAGGCCGCGGUGCUCAUCUCUGUCAUAUUGGCCCUUGAGCCUGCGGUGGGUGAGAACUUAAUACCUCGGGACACGAGGCAAGUGCAACUUCCGGGUUAUCACAGUUUACCUUCCUCAGGUUUCCCCAGGUAUCCAUUUAUCGAUGACCCGGAAGGCAGGAUAAACAGCUGGGUUGACUGCGCGCCGACUGCCUAGGCCGGGAUUCGAAUCAAGACCUGGGCCCGUAUCCUCGACAACUAUUAAUACUAAACUUGGUAUUAACUUUCGACUUUGGUAUUAACUUCACUCUCAAAGUGUAUCCUCAACAACUAUUAGCAUAAUACCUAAUCUUAACUUUGGUAUUAACUUGAGAGUGCUGGCGAGGACUUCUAAACACUUAAUAGUAAAGUUAAUAGUGAAACCCAGACCCAGACCCAUAUCAACAUGGCCCCCGGACUUCCUCGUCCAGCCCGCCUCCGCAAUUUAGAGUUUGAUAGGGCGCUUUGGAACUGUAUAACGAUGGUGAACUUGUCAAGACAUACAUAUUAGACCGUGCAGGAAUGGAGUAUGUGACUGAUUUGGUGAGAAGAGAGCUACAAGAUCCAGUUCAAAGGGAGCAUUGCCGCACCCCGGGGUUGAAAGUGAUUUUGACUUAAAGGUACUUGGCUACAGGAAAAAUGCUGCAGUGUUCAAGUGAUGAGUUUGGGGUAAGCCAGAGUAGUGUAAGCAGGGUGAUUGCGGAAACUCUGGCCGCCCUCAGUGACCCGUAGGUAGUCGGGAGGUUUAUCCAGUCUCCCCUUGAUAGGGUGGAGAUCCGUGUAAAGCAAGCAGAACUCUACCAACUUGCCGGUGUUGUGGGAGUGAUAGACUGCACCCAUGUGAAAAUAAUGGCACCAAAGGAAAACGAUGUAGUUUAUGUCAACAGAAAAAAUAAAUAAACAUAGCUUGAACAUACAAUUAGUGUUUGAUGCCUUUGUUAUUGAUUAAAAUGUGAAAUAUUCGAGUUAAGGAAAACAAAACAUGGGAAAAAAACUUUUAUUUGUAGCAGAAAGGUACACACAUGCAAAUGAAAAAGAUGACAUUAAAAUUGCAUUAAAAUGUCAUUUAGAAUAUGAUUUAUAAUUAUUGCUGCCGGUUAUUCAUAUUGAGAUAAUGGUCGAGGUGACCACAUCGCGAACAUCAUGACUUAUGAGUGAAGUAAAACGAGUUUACUUGGUUUCUGUUUACAAAGUUCCAAGUGGAAAAACAACUUUAUUGUGAAUUCAGUGUAUACUUUUCUGGAGUAUUGUGUUUACUGAGUGAAUUGGUGACCAAUCUGUUGCUAUUUGUGUCUUGCUUGAAGAUAUUCAUCAUUGGAUUCAAAGCUAUGGUAUUAAUGUGCAAUAGUCAUCAUAGGAGGAGGCGGUGGCUUGAGUCGUCAAAGUAACGGCCUCGUGUUCAGGAGGACGCGAGUUCAAUCCCCGCCCGGUGCCACCAAGCUGGGAUUUUUCAGCCGCCGCCGAGUGGCUUAAAA